GAAUAUUGGACAAUGGGCGCAAGCCUGAUCCAGCCAUGCCGCGUGAGUGAUGAAGGCCUUAGGGUUGUAAGGCUCUUUCACCGGAGAAGAUAAUGACGGUAUCCGGAGAAGACGCCCCGGCUAACUUCGUGCCAGCAGCCGCGGUAAUACGAAGGGGGCUAGCGUUGUUCGGAAUUACUGGGCGUAAAGCGCACGUAGGCGGAUCGAUCAGUCAGGGGUGAAAUCCCAGAGCUCAACUCUGGAACUGCCUUUGAUACUGUCGAUCUAGAGUAUGGAAGAGGUGAGUGGAAUUCCGAGUGUAGAGGUGAAAUUCGUAGAUAUUCGGAGGAACACCAGUGGCGAAGGCGGCUCACUGGUCCAUUACUGACGCUGAGGUGCGAAAGCGCGGGGAGCAAACAGG
rnacentral:rRNA from 1 species